AAAAAAGGUUAUGCAAAUCUGACAAGGCCUUUUUUAUGUGAGAGAAGUAUUAUUCAUUAAAAUUCGGUACCUUCUGCCAACUCUUUAACCAUGUUACGUUCACAAUCGCCAGGUUGCUUCAUUAUAUUCGACGGUUGAUGAAAGAUUAGGGCUUCUUCCAAAUAAGCUGGUACUUGAUGAAACUCUAACUUCGAUUGUUAAUUUUUUAUGGAGGAUGUGAGGUUAAUUAAAAAUUGAACUACAUGAACUUUGGUUAGCGAAAGAACGUGUAGGAUUAGAUUUAAAAAAAUAAGCUAAUCAGCCGGAAUCGUGGUGGAAGUGCCAGCGAGGGGGUGUUCAGAAUGCUGUAACUCAAGUUCUACACAAUAUUUUUAGCUUAAAAUUUAUAUUUAUACUGUCGAAAUAUAUGUUAAUAAAUGAUA